GAUGAACGCUGGCGGCGUGCUUAACACAUGCAAGUCGAACGAUGAUCCCAGCUUGCUGGGGGAUUAGUGGCGAACGGGUGAGUAACACGUGAGUAACCUGCCCUUGACUCUGGGAUAAGCCUGGGAAACCGGGUCUAAUACCGGAUAUGACCUCCUGCCGCAUGGUGGGGGUGGAAAGCUUUAUUGUGGUUUUGGAUGGACUCGCGGCCUAUCAGCUUGUUGGUGAGGUAAUGGCUCACCAA
rnacentral:rRNA from 1 species